rnacentral:lncRNA from 7 species
UAUUGGAUAUGCUGUUAUGGUGUCGCAUCAAAUCCAGAAAUUCACACGUCAUUCGAUUUUUCCGGCAACGUAUGAUCUCGCAUCGAAGUAAAUUUGUAACUAACUAAUUUGCUCAUAUAUUCCUUUUCUAACCUCGCUUCAUUAAAUAUUCUAAUGCAUAUUUAAGAUACUAAAUAGAUUUAAAUUUUAAACAUAAAUGAGAAAGUUUUAAAUCUACACUACAACUCUCGGUUCAGGUCA